UACCAGCACCCCGAGUGGUCGGGACGUUUUAUUGGGCCUAAAGCAUCCGUAGCCGGUUCUACAAGUCUUCCGUUAAAUCCACCUGCUUAACAGAUGGGCUGCGGAAGAUACUAUAGAGCUAGGAGGCGGGAGAGGCAAGCGGUACUCGAUGGGUAGGGGUAAAAUCCGUUGAUCCAUUGAAGACCACCAGUGGCGAAGGCGAGUCCCUGGACGAUACCUGACACUGAGGCACGAAAGCUAGGGGAGCAAACAGG
rnacentral:rRNA from 1 species